ensembl:lncRNA
CCCUGCGGUCCCCUACCCGGAACACCUGGGACAGACUGUCUCCAGUACCCGCCAGCAGGGCGCCAGGAAGUCUCCAUACUUGCUGGCUGUCAGGAUCUGACCCCCGGGGUCCCGACUAGGUGCAAAGGGGACGGUGAGAGGCACAGCUGUCUCCCCCAGCCUAAGCUGCUCAAGCUUCGCCCCAGCGCCCAGCCCUGUUUGGCCCCAAGGGUGACCCCCUCUCCCAGUAGCCAGAGCCUGGCAGGGGGAGACCCCAAGGGUUGAGGUCAGCUGUCACAGCCUCCAGAUUUGGCAGUGGCCCUGAAUUAUCCUGGCACACUCUACCUGCCUUGAACACUGGCAGCGUGACUACACAACACCUUCUCACUUUCCCACAAAUACAUUCUGAAGACUUUCUCAGACCAUCGCACUUCCUCCUGCCUGACCGUCAGAAUGGCUGAGUCUUCUUGACGUCUGUCACUUCAUCACAUCAUGUAUUCACCAAGGUGGCAAAUCCUUGGGCCUUCACAGUACAGCUAGAAGUUGGCCGCCCUGGCUAAGGUUCUUUUUUAUGCAAAUCUCUGUGCUUACCCUUGUUUGGACCAGAUGUGUGCUGACUCCUGCCUUCAAGACACCAGCAACCCUGCUCUGCAGAGAAAGGAGAUAAGCCAAGACUUGUCCAGGGGCGGAGAUGAGCAGUGCCAUGAAAGGGGUCAAAUGGGAAGAGCUGCCAUGGGCUGGUGUGUCCGGAGUGUUUGGGAUGGGAAUAGCCGCUGCGCACGGGGCGUCUCCUGGGUACCAUGUGAUGCUCUGAGCUCUCUAAGCUGCUUACUGUUCACAGUAACCCUAGUUAGGCAGGUCACAUAGUAUCCGCAAUUUCAAAAUAAGAAAAACAAGCCACAAGGAGAUGAAGUAGCUCUCCCAAGGCCACAGAGG